GAACUGCGCAAACGUUAUUCGGAAUCACUGGGCUUAAAGGGUGCGUAGGCGGCCAUGUAGGUGGGGUGUGAAAUCCCUCGGCUCAACCGAGGAACUGCGCUCCAAACCACAUGGCUUGAGGGAGAUAGAGGUGAGCGGAACUCACGGUGGAGCGGUGAAAUGCGUUGAUAUCGUGAGGAACACCUGUGGCGAAGGCGGCUCACUGGGUCUCUUCUGACGCUGAGGCACGAAAGCCAGGGGGGAGCGAACGGGAUUAGAUACCCCGGUAGUCCUGGCUGUAAACGAUGAGCACUAGUUCGAGGAGGCUUCCACACCCUCUCGGACGUAGCGAAAGUGUUAAGUGCUCCGCCUGGGGAGUAUGGUCGCAAGGCUG
rnacentral:rRNA from 1 species